GAUGAACGCUGGCGGCGUGCUUAACACAUGCACGUCGAACGGAGUGGCGAACGGGUGAGUAACACGUGGGUGAUCUGCCAUGUACUUCAGGAUAAGCUUGGGAAACUGGGUCUAAUACCGGAUAGUAUGGGAUGAGCUCGCUGCCUAUAUGCUUUGUGGGGGGGUAAGGGCCUACCAAGGCGUCGACUGGAAGCCGGCCUGAGAGGGUGUACGGCAACAUUGUGACUGAGAUACGGCCCAGACUCCUACGGGAGGCAGCAGUGGGGAAGAUUGCACAAUGGGCGCAAGCCUGAUGCAGCGACGCCGCGUGGGUGAUGAAGGCCUUCGGGUUGUAAACUCCUUUCGCUAGGGACGCGGGACCUGGAGAAGAAGCACCGGCUAACUACGUGCCAGCAGCCGCGGUAAUAC
rnacentral:rRNA from 1 species